AUUGAACGCUGGCGGCAGGCCUAACACAUGCAAGUCGAGCGGAUGAAGGGAGCUUGCUCCUGGAUUCAGCGGCGGACGGGUGAGUAAUGCCUAGGAAUCUGCCUGGUAGUGGGGGAUAACGUCCGGAAACGGGCGCUAAUACCGCAUACGUCCUGAGGGAGAAAGUGGGGGAUCUUCGGACCUCACGCUAUCAGAUGAGCCUAGGUCGGAUUAGCUAGUUGGUGGGGUAAAGGCCUACCAAGGCGACGAUCCGUAACUGGUCUGAGAGGAUGAUCAGUCACACUGGAACUGAGACACGGUCCAGACUCCUACGGGAGGCAGCAGUGGGGAAUAUUGGACAAUGGGCGAAAGCCUGAUCCAGACAUGCCGCGUGUGUGAAGAAGGUCUUCGGAUUGUAAAGCACUUUAAGUUGGGAGGAAGGGCAGUAAGUUAAUACCUUGCUGUUUUGACGUUACCAAAAGAAUAAGCACCGGCUAACUUCGUG
rnacentral:rRNA from 1 species